CAAAGGGCUAAAUCAUCAUCUCAUGCCCAGUUGUCUGGCACCACUUCAUUGCUAGAAGCUUGCAGUUCAAUCUCAUCUGUACAGGUACAAGGUAAGAGGAUGGUUUUCUUUGAGAACAUCUUAAGGGUGGUGGUUUCCACUGGCAAAAUAACUUCAAAGAAGCAUACUUGAAUGAGAAUAUCUGUUUUUAAGUUAGGAAAAAAGCUUGAAUAAACUGUUCUGGUAUGUAAAAAGAAAAAAAAAGGACAUCCAUUUGCUCCAAUUCAACCAUAUUUACUGAUAACUCUUGAUUUCCUUGUGAGUAAAUAUAUCUUUCAGACUUACUCCAUUGAGGAAAUGACCUCACCAUCCUUCCAUUUGCUCAAGCCAUAGAUCACACACACAAAGAAAUGAGCCAGUCUUAUUUUGUUUCUCCCUCAUUCCCAUUUCCAAUAUAUCAGCAAAUCUUGGUACCACCUAAAAAAUGUAUCUAUAUCUGUUUAAAUUUUCUUUAUUUCCAAUGCUUUCCUAGUCAUAAUCACCAUCCCCAGCUUGGAUUAUUUUGAUAGUGUUCUAACUACUAUCCUUUCUUGGAUCUUGCUUGAUUAUCCAUUCCUCACAAAGCAUUCCAACUGAUAAUUUAAGAAUGCAGAUUUCAGUAUGUCACUAUGCCCUCCUCCACUGUGAUUUUUACAUUGUCCAAUGUGUUUUCAUCACAUUUGUAGUAAAAUAGAGUUCCAGUGUUGUCUAUAAGGCCCUAUGUUAUCUAUAAGGCCCUUGACCACCACCUGGGUCUCUGAAAGUACCUAUUGUCUCUGUCUUGUUUGCUCACCAAGCUACAGACAUGCUAAUUUUCCCUUUCAAAUGGAAGAGUCUUCCUCCAGAUCUUCAUAUGGCCAACCUUCAUUGUUAUUCAGGUUUUAGCUCAAAUGUCACCUCCUCAGAGACAGAUCAUCCAAAUUAAUAAACUGUAUGCAAUAUCAUCCCAAUCAAUCUCUAUUAAAUAGUGCUGUUUUAUUUUAAAAUUGCACUUAUAUUUAUCUAAAUAUUUCUUAUUUAUUUUCUAACCUAAUUUAUGGCUUAUAAAAUCCAUGACUUUGUCUUAUUAGCAUUUAAUCCCAGUACUUAAUAUGCCAUCCCUAUCACAUAGUGGAUGCUGAAAACAUAUUGGGUGAAUUAGUGUAUAUAUGCAUAAUUGUAUAAAUGUAUGUGUAUGCAUGUAUAUGUGUAUGUAUGUAUACAUGUAUUUACAUAUAAUUGAUGUAUGUAUGUAAUAUGUGUGUAUGUAUACACAACAUGUUUGGUACUUCACUAGGUGUUGAGUAAGGCAAAUAAAACAUAGUUUCUAUAUUCAAGUAGUCCAUAAUCUAGUAGCAGAAGAGACAAUGAAACCGGGACAUAACUCUUCCUUCCACUAACAGGCAACUCUGUUUAAGCAGCAGAAGGGCUCUCAUUUAUUACGGGUAGGACAGGUUCAGAAGCCCACAGCUGGAUAUAGAAGGAAGGAGAUCAAGAAGGUGGAUGUUUCACACAAAUGGAGAGCUUGAAAGGGGAGAAAUCAGGUUUUAGGGAGUUACUAGGGUGGGUCCACAGAAAAAUAAUGGGGAGGGAGAAGGAAAUUACAUGGAAAUAAGAUAAUUUUUUUUUUCAAACUGAAGGAUAAAGUCAAUGAGCCAUGUCCUUGGCUUGCCUAAGUAUUUAUUCCAGCUCCAGGGUCUAUAAUUAUCUAACUUAAAAUUAGGCAAUUGUAGUGAUAUUUAAAAGUUAUGUAGUAUCCAGGGGGAGGGUAAUUAAAAUGUAAUGUUUGUUUUUCCAACACAGAUCCAUGAAUUGGGAAGGCACAGCACCUCUUCCUCAUAUCUGUCUGCUCCUUAGCAACAGUGGUAGUGGUACAGCUUUUCUUUCCAUGCCUUUUUUUUCUCUUAGACCCCUGGAACUUUUGUUGAGAAUUCAAAGUCACACAUAUACAGGAUAAUGUGAGUUAGGAAUCACCAUGAAGACAAGUAUAGUUAGGUCAAGGUUGGGUUCCUUGAAAUCCACAAAAUAGGGCUUUUUCUGUGAAGUCUGAAUAGUUGAUAUAGAUGGUUUCUAAAUGUAGUAUGGAUUAAACAUUUCCUGGGGAGACUGUUAAAAUGCAGAUGACCAUAUGAAAUACCAAGGAUUUAAUUAAGUAGUUAAGGGAUGGUCCCAGGAAUAUGCAGUUAAGAACACAGAAGAUACAACUUGUUUUGAGAAUAUGUUUUGAGAAACAAUAGCUUAUAUUGAUGUCAUUAUUACCUUUAAGAAAGAAUUCUGAGACGAUAUAGUUGGAGGGAUACCUUGAAAGUGGAGCUGUAUUUCUGUGGUAAUAACAGAAAAAAAAGACAUGUCUUUGGAUAAACCCGACGAGAGGCCGAACGGCAAUUCCAGUUCCUUCCUGUUGACUGGUUUCCCAGGCUUGGAGGCAGCUCACCACUGGAUUUCCACACCCUUCUUUUUCAUCUACAUCUCUGUCCUUUUAGGCAACAGCACCCUCCUCCUUCUCAUUAAGGAAGAUCACAAUCUUCAUGAACCUAUGUACUAUUUCCUGGCCAUGCUAGCAGCCACAGACUUAGGGCUGACCUUGACCACGAUGCCUACGGUGCUCAGAGUCCUCUGGUUGGAUCACAGGGAGAUUGGGAAAGUAGCCUGUUUUUCUCAAGCCUACUUUAUACACUCACUUGCCUUUGUAGAGUCUGGUGUUUUGCUUGCUAUGGCUUAUGAUCGUUUUAUUGCCAUUCGCAACCCCCUUAGAUAUACCUCCAUACUCACUUAUUCUCAAGUGCUGAAAAUUGGACUGGGAGUUCUGCUGAGGGGGUUUGUAUCUGUUAUCCCUCCAAUUGUACCCCUUUAUUUUUUUCCCUAUUGCCAUUCCCAUGUCCUCUCUCAUGCAUUCUGCCUUCACCAGGAUGUCAUCAAACUGGCCUGUGCUGACACCACCUUCAAUCGGC
rnacentral:lncRNA from 1 species